rnacentral:pre_miRNA from 1 species
AGCCUUCUGUAUCCGUGCUGAGAUUUCGUCAGCGAUCAGCCCUCUCGUACUGGCUGAUGCAACUUCCCAAAUAAGUGAAGUG